rnacentral:lncRNA from 1 species
AAAUUUUGGUUCUUGGCUCAAGGACUAAAACUCAAGUUCAACAAACACAACAAGUCAAGUUCAAGCAACACCCGAUCCUCAAGUUCAACAAUUUCCACAAACUUAAGUUAAAAAACACAAGAACCUCUAGUUCAAAAAACAUGAUAAACUCAAGUUCAAAUAUGCCACAAACUCAAGUUCAAUGAACACCACAAACUCAAGUUCAACCACCACCCGAUUCUCAAGUUUAACAAUUGCCACAACCUCAAGGUUAAAAAAAACACAAACUCAAGUUCAAACACUUCACAAACUCAAGUUCAAAAACACCACACAAACUCAAGUUCAACAAACACCACAAACUCAAGUUCAACAAACACAACAAGUCAAGUUCAAGCAACACCCGAUCCUCAAGUUCAACAAUUUCCACAAACUUAAGUUAGAAAACACCAGAACCUCAAGUUCAAAAAACAUAAUAAACUCAAGUUCAAAUAUGCCACAAACUCAAGUUCAAUGAACACCACAAACUCAAGUUCAACGAACGCCACAAACAAAAGUUCAACAAUUGCCACCAACUAAAGUUCACUAAAAACCAUAGACUCAAGUUCAACAAUUGCCAAAAAAUCAAGCCAAACAAACUCAAGUUCAUAAGUUGCCACAAACUUCAAACACGACACAAACUCAAGUUCAAAAACACCACAAACUCAAGUUCAAAAACGACACAAACUCAAGUUCAACAAACAAAACUAACUAUUUAGAGUAAUUUUGAGGUGUUUGAGAGGUUUUUUGUAGACUUACCCUAGUGGUCCUAAGUUGUUGUUGAUGUGAGGGGUUUCUUUUCCAGUAGUCUAAAAUCUGUUGGAGGGGGGAAAAGGUUCCAGCUGUCCAUCCGCGGUGGCAGCGGUGUGUCUGAAGUCCGGGGUCCUCGGCGGGGGAAAGAAGAUCAGCGCUCCGCGGGAAGGUUUGCUGGGACUCGGUGCUGUAGGCGGGUCGAAGCUCGGUGGUGGGCGGCUUGGAGUGAUGGAGGUGCGGCGUCUUCUUUCAGUUGGCGGCGCGGCGUCUUCCUCGAUGGUGGUCCGUCUUCUUGGUCCAGAGGUCAGUGCUUUGUCUCAAUAACUGGAACAGGAAUUGCUCUUUAAUGCACGGCACUUAAAUGUGCUUUUCAAACAAGUAGACAUCCCCAGAGUUGGGCUCGAGUCAUGGUUUGUGCUGUUCCUCUCAGACAUGGUUGUGUUCUCUUCUCGAUGUUUGUAUUCCAGAAUGGAUGUCUCUUGGUUGUAUUUUAAACCUUCAAGUUGUUUUAAGUUAAUUUUAAUGUAGUUUAUUGUUUUAAAUUGAGUUUUGCUACAUUCAAUUUGUAUGCAAUCGCAAGGGAUUGUGGGUAUUUUAGUUCUGAGGGAUGAGAGCCUAAGGAAUCAAUCUUCCUGUUACAGCAAAGGAUUGUGGGUAAAACCGUGAGGGAGUGAGGUACUUCCUUUCUGGCAUGAGAGCCUUGGGAAUCAAUCUCCCUGUUGCAGCAAAGGAUUGUGGGUAAAACCGUGAGUGAGGGAGGUACAUUUUUCCUGGCAUGAGAACCUCAGGAGUCAGUCCUUCCUAAGAAAAAAGAGGGGAGGGGGGAAGAAAAACAAAAGCACAGGAACCCUAAAAUAAAAUAAAAUAAUAUAAAACAAUGAAAAAAUAAAAGAAGAACAAAAGUGGAUUGCAAAAGGGAAAGGGGAAGAAAAAAGGAAAAAAAGAAGUGUCAAGAGCAAAUAGCAAAAAUCAGAAGUGAGCUUAAAAACAGAGAACAGUUCCCUAAAAGAAAGACAGAAAUGUAAAUCUGAUCAAUGUCCUAAGGGAAAAUCUGUACGUGUGUGUGUGUGUUCUUUUUUGCUAACUUAGUCUGGUGUCACUGAUGGUCAGUUAUUGAUAAGUAUUUAUUAUUUAAAUUUUUGAUGAAGUUGUUUGUAGUGGGGUUAGCUGGCUAAUUUUAGAGUGUUAAAAAGAUGUUAGAGGGGGAGGAUUUAGGGGGCACGGCGGUUCCCCUUCAGGUCUUUCUUAAUCCUCCAUAUAGGUGACCCAACAGGGGUUACCCCCCGGCCGGGGUAGGCCUAGGCUGAAGAUCACCUAUUUGUCCUCUGUGAAGGUGAAAAUAAAGGGGCAGGGGAGGGAAUAAGAAAGGGGGGGUGUUAGAGAGAGGGGUAGAGAUGAGGGAGAGAGAUGAGGGAGAGAGAGACAGAGAGAGAGAGAGAGAGAGAGAGAGAGAGAGAGAGGUGUGUGUGUGUGUGUGUGUGUGUGUGUGUGUGUGUGUGUGUGUGUGUGUGUGUGUGUGAGAGAGAGAGAGAGAGAGAGAGAGAGAGAAGGGAAGAGGGAGAGGGGGGUUUAAGGGAGAGGUGGAGAUGGUGGAAAAUAAAGAUUGGUGAGGGGGAUGUUGACAUAUCACAUGUUCCCAGUCAAGUCUCCAAGCUCAAUCUGUGUGUAAAAAUUAUGUGUUGGUAGGAAGUUUAAUGACUCCACUCAAUUGGUAUGCCAUGCUGUCUAUCUUUUAGACUAUGUGUUUGUAAAUUAUGUAUAUAUUAUAUUACAGGGCUAGGGUAAGGUUAAAGGUUUUUGGCGUUAGGGUUAAAAUCACUGUCCAAAACCUUUGUAGGAACUCUUUUCCAACCUUUUGGAGUAAGCUAGACCAAAAAAAAAAAAAUGAAAAAUGAAAAAAAAAAUGUUUGGGGUGUUCAGGCUUCCUAAAAGUAAUACCCCGGUAUUAGGUUAUGGGGCUAUGGUAAGGUUUAAGGUUUUUGGCGUUAGUGUUAAAAUCACUUUCCAAAACCUUUGUAGGAACUCUUUUCCAACCUUUUGGAGUUAGCUAGACCAAAAAAAUAUGAAAAAGGAAAAAAAUAUAUUUGGGGUUUUCGGGCUUCCUGAAGGUAAUACCCGGGUAUUAGGUUUUGGGGCUAGGGUAAGGUUUAAGGUUUUUGGCGUUAGGGUUAAAAUCACUGUCCAAAACCUUAGUAGGAACUCUUUUCCAACCUUUUGGAGUUGGUUACACCAACAAAAAUGUAAAAUGAAAAAAAAUAUUUGGGGCUUUCGGGCUUCCUGAAGGUUAUACCCGGGAAUUAGAUUUUAUGGCUAGGGUAAGGUUUAAGUUUUUUUGGCGUUAGGGUUAAAAUCACUGUCCAAAACCUUUGUAGGAACUCUUUUCCAACCUUUUGGAGUCAGUUAGACCAAAAAAAAAACGAAAAAUGAAAAAAAAAUAUUUGGGGUGUUCAGGCUUCCUAAAAGUAAUACCCGGGUAUUAGGUUAUGGGGCUAUGGUAAGGUUUAAGGUUUAUGGCAUUAGGGUUAAAAUCACUGUCCAAAACCUUUGUAGGAACUCUUUUCCAACCUUUUGGAGUUAGUUACACCAAAAAAAAUGUAAAAUGAAAAAAAAAUAUUUGGGGUUUUCGGGCUUCCUGAAUGUAAUACCCGGGUAUUAGAUUUUAAGGCCAGGGAAAGGUUUAAGUUUUUUGGCGUUAGGGUUAAAAUCACUGUCCAAAACCUUUGUAGGAACUCUUUUCCAACCUUUUGGAGUUAGUUAGACCAAAAAAAAAAACGAAAAAUGAAAAAAAAAUAUUUGGGGUGUUCAGGCUUCCUGAAGGUAAUACCCGGGUAUUAGAUCUUAAGGCCAGGGAAAGGUUUAAGUUUUUUGGCGUUAGGGUUAAAAUCACUGUCCAAAACCUUUGUAGGAACUCAUUUCCAAUUUUUUGGAGCUAGUUAGACCAAAAAAAAAAGAAAAAUGAAAAAAAAAUAUUUGGGGUGUUCAGGCUUCCUAAAUGUAAUACCCAGGUAUUAGGUUAUGGGGCUAUGGUAAGGUUUAAGGUUUUUUGCAUUAGGGUUAAAGUCACUGUCCAAAACCUAUGUAAGAACUCUUUUCCAACCUUUUGGAGUUGGUUACACCAACAAAAAUGUAAAAUGAAAAAAAAAAUAUUUGGGGUGUUCGGGCUUCCUAAAAGUAAUACCCGGGUAUUAGAUUUUAAGGCUAGGGUAAGGUUUAAGUUUUAUGGCGUUAGGGUUAAAAUCACUGUCCAAAACCUUUGUAGGAACUCUUUUCCAACUGUUACGGCUGUGUGUUUGUUUUGCAUGUGUUUUCCUCUUUUGUCUCUCCAUAGCUGCCCAGGUGAAAUCACUUGAGUGACAAUCAGACUCACCUGGUGCUGGGAGUCUAAAAGCCCAGAGCUGCCUGCAGUCUGGAGAGGCAUUUGGUGGGGAACUGCUGCCCUGCUGCCUCUCAUUUGUGUUGUGGGUGCUUUGUGUUUAGUUUGCAAUUUUGUUGUUUUUUCACAAUAAAUCACGUGUUAAACUUUUGAAGGUGUUUUGGUUAAUUUGAUGGGUAAAAAGUUGAGGAUUGUUGUUAGCCCCAUAGGGCCGCCUAAGGGUGGGGUGUAACACCAACCUUUUGGAGUUGGUUACACCAACAAAAAUGUAAAAUGAAAAAAAAAAUAUUUGGGGUGUUCGGGCUUCCUGAAGGUAAUACCCGGGUAUUAGGUUAUGGGGCUAUGGUAAGGUUUAAGGUUUUUGGCGUUAGGGUUAAAAUCACUGUCCAAAACCUUUGUAGGAACUCUUUUCCAACCUUUUGGAGUUGGUUACACCAAAAAAAAAAAGAAAAAUGAAAAAAAAAAUAUUUGGGGUGUUCGGGCUUCCUGAAGGUAAUACCCGGGUAUUAGGUUAUGGGGCUAUGGUAAGGUUUAAGCUUAAUGGCAUUAGGUUUAAAAUCACUGUCCAAAACCUUUGUAGGAACUCUUUUCCAACCUUUUGGAGUUAGUUAGACCAAAAGAAAAAAAUGAAAAAUGAAAAAAAAAUAUUUGGGGUGUUCAGGCUUCCUAAAAGUAAUACCCGGGUAUUAGGUUAUGGGGCUAUGGUAAGGUUUAAGGUUUAUGGCAUUAGGGUUAAAAUCACUGUCCAAAACCUUUGUAGGAACUCUUUCCCAACCUUUUGGAGUUAGUUAGACCAAAAAAAAAAGAAAAAUGAAAAAAAAAUGUUUGGGGUUUUUGUGCUUCCUGAAUGUAAUACCCGGGUAUUAGAUUUUAAGGCCAGGGAAAGGUUUAAGUUUUAUGGCGUUAGGGUUAAAAUCACUGUCCAAAACCUUUGUAGGAACUCUUUUCGAACCUUUUGGAGUUAGUGAGACCAAAAAAAAAAUGAAAAAUGAAAAAAAAAUAUUUGGGGUGUUCAGGCUUCCUAAAAGUAAUACCCCGGUAUUAGGUUAUGGAGCUAUGGUAAGGUUUAAGGUUUUUGGCGUUAGGGUUAAAAUCACUGUCCAAAACCUUUGUAGGAACUCUUUUCCAACCUUUUGGAGUUAGUUAGACCAAAAAAAAUGAAAAAUGAAAAAAAAAAUAUUUGGGGUUUUCGGGCUUCCUAAAAGUAAUACCCGGGUAUUAGAUUUUAAGGCUAGGGGAAGGUUUAAGUUUUUUGGCGUUAGGGUUAAAAUCACUGUCCAAAACCUUUGUAGGAACUCUUUUCGAACUUUUUGGAGUUAGUUAGACCAAAAAAAAAAGAAAAAUGAAAAAAAAAUAUUUGGGGUGUUCAGGCUUCCUAAAAGUAAUACCCCGGGUAUUAGGUUAUGGGGCUAUGGUAAGGUUUAAGGUUUUUGGCAUUAGGGUUAAAGUCACUGUCCAAAACCUUUGUAGGAACUCUUUUCCAACCUUUUGGAGUUGGUUACACCAACAAAAAUGUAAAAUGAAAAAAAAAAUAUAUGGGGUGUUCGGGCUUCCUAAAAGUAAUACCCGGGUAUUAGAUUUUAAGGCUAGGGUAAGGUUUAAGUUUUAUGGCGUUAGGGUUAAAAUCACUGUCCAAAACCUUUGUAGGAACUCUUUUCCUACCUUUUGGAGUUAGUUAGACCAAAAAAUAUUAAAAAGGAAAAAAAAAUAUUUGGGGUUUUCGGGCUUCCUGAAGGUAAUAC